UCACAGUUAGAUUUUUGAUUUUAAUUUUGAGUCUACUAUGAUCUGCUCAAUACGAACAUAACUGUAAUACUGAAUUUGCAUUUUUUGUCUUUAAUUUUGCUACGGUAAAGUAGGGCUACUUUGUGACACUACAGCCUAAUUUGUGACAUUGCCACUUUUAAUUAAAAUUAAUUUUUUACCAGGUCGCUAAAAACGAUAGAACCAUUUAAAUUUCAUAUAACAAUAGUGUACCGGGUGCGCCAUCUAGGUCAAUAUGACAAAAGCCGGUAGCAAAACAUCGCUCCUCAUACCAGAGCAGAGUUGAAAAUUAGGCAAACAGAUGUUUUUCGAUUUGUGUGUAAACUUUCUAUUGAACACAAAAAACCGUGAAAGAUUUUUUAACUAAGAUACAAUGCCAAGGGCGUACAAAGAAAAUUGGCUGCCGCAGCUACAAAAACUAUACAGAAGAAACGUUAGCUGAAGCUCUUAAUGAUAUAAAAAAUAAACGAAUAUCAUUACGCGGUGCUGCGGAAAAAUAUUGUAUACAUCGAAAUAAUUUAUGGCUGAAAAUUAAAGAACGGCACAAAAACAGGCCUGGACAACAAAAAGUAUUUACCGACCAAGAAGAAGAUGCCUUUGCCGCCCAUAUUAUCACUGUGUCAACUUUUGGUUUUCCCGUAAGCACAUUUGAUCUAAGAUGUAUAGUUAAAUCGUAUAUAGAACGUCAAGGCAAAAAAGUUAAGCCUUUUUAAAACAAUAUGCCAGGACCUGAUUGGGUCAAGUUCUUUUUAAAGCGACAACCACAGCUUUCACAGAGAAUCGCACAGAAUAUUACACAUGCUACUGAUGAAGAAACUGUAAAAAAUUUCUUUGAUAAUUUGGAGGCUGAGUUAGAAGGAAUUCCUGCAGAAAAUAUAUGGAAUUAUGACGAAACAAACCUUGUUGACGACCCAGGCCAGACAAAAAUAAUAACCAAAAGGGGAACAAAGUACCCUGAGUGAAUCAGAAACUCUUCCAAAGCCUGUACUUCUCUAAUGGUAUGCGGAAAUGCCGAGGGUCAAUUAGCUCCACUUUAUAUUAAUUAUAAAUCUCAAAACCCGCAAACGCGCGAUAUAAUAGAACGGCUUCGGGAUGGUUUGACUACCAAGUUUUUGAGAAUUAGUUUUUAAAUCUUAUGCUGCCAAUAUUAAAACGCCAAGAAGGGCGAAAGGCCCUUAUAGGAGAUAAUCUUAGCUCGCAUUUAAAUCAGCAGGUCAUUCAAGCAUGUGAAGCUAAUAAUAUUCGCUUUAUACCUUUACCUCCUAAUACAACGCAUCUACUCCAACCACUUGACGUGGCCUUUUUCCGCCCAAUGAAGGAAAAAUGGCGCAAAAUUUUAAACGAGUGGAAGGCAAGCCACUACGGUAGCAGAGUCUCUUCCAUACCAAAGGAUGAAUUUCCAAGCCUUUUAAAAAAGCUGAUGAGUUAGUUAGAAGAAAGAGGACCUGAUAGCCUAAGAUCUGGUUUUAGAAAGACAGGCAUUUAUCCUUUAGAUGGAAACGAGGUCAUGGACCGUUUAUGCACUCGUAUUGUAACAGCAGAUACCGAAAUAGCUAAGGUUGUGGGUAAUAGUUUUAUUUAACACCUUACCAAUGUAAGGACUGACGCAACCAAAGGGAGGCAGAUCAAAAGAAGAAAGCGGCUAAACAUUCCACCAGGUCAAAGCAUAAGUAGUAGUGAUUUUAACAUCCAAUCUGCUGCCAUUUCUGCUGAGAAUACGCAAAACAACGAUGACCCUCAACCUGGACCCUCCGGCAUUCAACAAAAGAAACGCCUAAAAAGCGGUCGAGGUAAUGGAUCAACAUCAGAUAGUUCCAGUGAAAAUCAGGACCAAAUUAAAUACAUGGAAAGUGAUGACAGUCCAUGGGAUGAACAUUUUUCCAGUGAUGAAGAUGAACGGGUACUUAAAGAAAGAACUGUAGCCCAAAAAGCAGAAAAGUCAGAGGGAAAGUACGUCGUUGUUAAAUUUGAAGGAAAGUAUUUUACAGGUCAAGUUACGACCGUAUACAGCAUAGGAGCGACAGUAAAUGUGACGGAACGUGUUGGAAAGCAGUGGAAGUGGCCUCAAAAGAAAGACGAGAUAUUUUAUAAAAAUGAUGUGAAAUGAUAUCACAGGUGUAUCAUAUAUUAUUUACCACCAGUUUUAUUCCUUAGUUUUCUUUUGUUUAAAGUUACCUACACAUUAAUAAACAUUUUGUUAAUAUUUUGCAUAAGAGCAUUUAGACAUGCAAAAUAAAAGUUAUUUUGUAAUUA